GAGGGAAGUUGCGCUCAGAGUCUUCAUCGGAGCCGUUUGCCUCGUUUCCUUCCAUAGUUCCCCGGUGGUGAACAGUUGGAGAAGUGAGGUAUGAAACAACCUAAAGGUCCAAGCAGGAAUGAGUAGAGACGCUCCGACCCGAAGGUGUCACGGUGAAGUGGGAUCUGGUUUGAAGCCGCCCGUCGGCCGGCCGCUCCCUCGGCUCGGUUCGGCUCGGCUCGCAGGAAUAAGAUCAAGCUGCAGCUCUGACAGUUUGGACGAGGCGCUGCGGCCCCGCACAGCUGGAGGCCCUGGCAGCUUCUCCCUGAUGCUGAGGGAAAUAAAAAAACGGCGUUUCGUCCUCCACCUUUUCGCUUUCUUCUCCUGCGAUGAUGAAGAUGAUGAAGACGGGACCGGCUAUAAAUAACGCUCCGGAGCGAAGAUGUGAGGAAGCUGUGCUCCACAUACGCCUCGCGUCUGCCAACAUGCGCUGUGAUGUCGAAGCAUGAAAGUACAAACAGGAAACAAAUAAAGAAAAAAACUAGA